UACGUAGGGUGCGAGCGUUGUCCGGAAUUAUUGGGCGUAAAGAGCUCGUAGGCGGUGUGUCGCGUCGGCCGUGAAAACCUGGGGCUCAACUCUGGGCGUGCGGUCGAUACGGGCAUCACUUGAGUUCGGCAGGGGAGACUGGAAUUCCUGGUGUAGCGGUGAAAUGCGCAGAUAUUAGGAAGAACACCGGUGGCGAAGGCGGCCCACUGGCUCGACACUGACGCUGAGGUGCGAAAGCGUGGGGAGCGAACAGG
rnacentral:rRNA from 1 species